GUACACAUAGUAGGAUCUCCAAUCCUCUCGAAAGAUACUUGAGUAUGCUUAAGAGAGGAUGUAGAGAAAAUUAUUUCUUAUGGGAGAUAGAAAACAUAGAGAUGAUCCCAGAACCUACAAUGAGGCGAUGUAAGACAUUGACUCCAAGAAAGGAUGUGAAAUAGCUUUCCUGAGUAGAGAUCUUUUAAAAAUUUCUAUACAAAAUAGCCUAUAG
rnacentral:lncRNA from 1 species